UUAUGGAAUGACUUAAUGAUAAAAUUUGCUUCAAGAAUUAGAAUAUUUAAGAGUUUAAAGGUUUGAGUAAGAAAAUUUCGAUGACUAGAAAUAGUGAUAUUGAUUCAAUCAACAAUGAUGAUAUUGAUCUUUAUGAAAUGACUUAAUGAUGAAGUUGCAUCGAGAAAUAAAAUAUCAAAAGUUCGAGAAUAAGAUUGAAAUGAUAAAUCUUCAACCUUUGAAAGUACGAAUAAGAGAAAAUAUUUUUAAAUUUUGAUUGAUUGGGAUAUCGUCAAAUGAUUCAUAGAAGUAUAUUUUCCUAUCAUAUGAUGGGUUGAAAUUAAG
rnacentral:lncRNA from 1 species